rnacentral:lncRNA from 1 species
GCAUCUUGUGCCUUUCCAUGGCAGACUGCUUAAGGACACUUGAAAGCUGGAGUGGCAUGCAGUACCUACUGGGCUGUCUGACAAGCAGUUGAGGUGUAGACAGCCCUGCUCACUCUUCCUGGCUCAUUAGGACCAUUGGUUAGUCCUGAGUGUCCUCCUGCCUUCCAGCUGGGGCUCUGUAGCUCAUGUGUAGGACAGCAUGCUGGCUCUCCUGUGCCACUGUGGCCCCCUGUGGUAAUAAAGGCAGAAAAAUCUCAAAUCUGAGCAAGGAAAGUUAUUCAAAUGCCUCACACUAAUGUGAAGAUGCAGGCUCUUCAGAACUCUGCAACUCCUGGGAA